rnacentral:lncRNA from 10 species
AUUACGUGCUACAGGUCAAGUGUCUAGCACAGAUCCUGGCACACAGUAACCACUCCACAAAGAUUAUCUAUUAAUAUUUCUAUGACAGGAGAUUAGACCCAGGGGCCGCUCUAUGGGCAAGAGCGCUCUGCAGCCACUCAGGGCUCCAUGCUUGGUUUAAUGCUCUCCUUUCGCUAUCUUGAAAUGCUUAACCAUUUUUUAAUUAAAGGCUCUGCAUUUCUACUUUGCACUGGGCCCUGCCAAUGAUGCAGCUGGUCCUGGUGAGUGCUCUCUGGGCUUCAGUUUCUUUAACUGUAAGAUGAGAGUGAUAACACAGUCAACCUACCCUGCAGGAGCAUAAUGGGGCAGAAGAGUGUGUGCCUAUAAAAGUGCUUCGCUAAUAAAAAGACAAACAACCCAAUUAAAACAUUGGCAAAGGGUCUGAAUAGACUGCUCCAAAGAAGAUGUACGAAUGGCCAAUAGGCACAUGAAAAGACACUCGACAUGUUUAGUCAUUAUGGAAAUGCAAAUCAAAACCACACCAACUACAGUGGCUAUGGUCAACAUAGCCAGUGUUGGCCAGGAUGUGGAGAAACCAGAACCCUUAUACAAUGCUGGUGGGAAUGGAAAAUGAUGCCAGCCCCUUUGGAAAAGUCUAGCAAGUCCCCAAGAAUAGUUACCAUCUGAUCCAGCAAGUCCAUUUCUAGGUACACACCCAAGAGAAAUGAAAACAUAUAUCCACACACAAAAACUCAUACACAAAUAUGUACAACAGCGUUAUUCAUAAUAGCCAAAAAGUGGCAACAGCCAAAUGUCCAUCAACUGAUGAGAGGGUAAACAAAAUGUAGUCUUUCCAUACGAUGGAAUAUUAUUCAUCCGUAAAAACAAAGGCAGUACUGAUGCCUGCUACAGCAUGGAUGAACCCUGAAAACACGAUGCUAAGUGAAAGCAGCCAGACACAAGACUAAGUUUCCACUUAUAUGAAAUGUCUAGAAUUAGAAAAUCUAUAGACACAGAAAGUAGAUUAGUGGUUGCCAGGAGUUGAGGGUAAAGUGGGUAGAAAUGGGGAAUGUCUUCAUCAGUUCGGGCUGCUCUAACAAAAUACCAUGGACUGGGUGGCUUGAAAACAUCAGAAAUUUAUUUCUUGCAGUUCUGCAGGCUGGGAAGCCCAAGAUCGAGGUCCAGCUGGGUCGACUUGUGGUGGGAGCCAUCUUCUCGCUAUAUCCUCACGCAAAAGGCCAGGGGUCUCUCCCCAGCCUCUUUGAUAAGGGCACACUAAUCUCAAUGAAUCACCUCCCAAAGGCCCCACCUCCUAACACCAUCACACUGGGAGUUAGGAUUUCAACAGAUACAUUUUAGAGGGACACAGACAUUCAGUCAUAACACAGAGUGACUGCUAAUAGAUAUAAGGUUUCUUUUGGAGUUGAUAAAAAUAUUCUAAAAGUGAAUGUGGUCGUGGUUGCCAACUCUGGAUAUACUAAAAAUAUUCAAUUGUUCACUUUCAGUGGGUGAGUUGUGUGGUAUGUGAAUUAUAUCUCAACAAAGUGAGAGAGAGCAGCUUUAUAUAUCUCUACAUAUGACACGCACAUAUAUGUAAAUAGAGACAUGUGUAAGUUUAAAAGUGCUUUGCAGACUCUAAGGUGCAGACACCUAUAAUAACACAUGAUCACAGCACAGUCCCGUGCCCACACCAUGCAGACACACAUGUGCACACACACGCACGCACAUGCACACACACAACACACACACACAGACACACAUACAUACAUACAUACAGACACAUACACACAGACACACAUUCAUGUGCCCUGGCCGCUUGAGUGCCCAACAUGACUGCUCCCCCGCUGGGUUCACUGUAUCUAGUCCUCAUUCUUGGGAAAACACAUUCACUGCCAACUCCUGCGGGGAGAGACCCCAAAUAAAUACAUCAGCGAGGAGGAAUCAGGGGCCCUGCUGGGGCAUCUUCCCUGCUGCUUACUCCACCCUGCAUGAAACAGAGGUCAGAAAGAGCACCAAGUGGGACAACAUGUGACAUGGCCCUUCCCCAGGGCAGGAUCAGCUUUCUGACUGUGCCAGAGGCAGAGUCGUCAUGCCUUGGUUCAGAAUGUGGAUGAUAGAAGGCUCAGGACAGCGGUGGCCAGAUGGAGAGCUUCCCAGGACAGUCAACAUUCAAAUAAAUUUGUGGUGACUCCUGUGGGGUGGUCUUCACCUCCCUCUUCACUCCUACCCCAGUGUUAAGGUGUGUCCCUCUCUGAUCUUCUGAUUCUCACCUCAUAGCUGCAAGAUGGCAGCUGUGCCUCCAGGCAUUACAUCCACGUUCCAAACAGGAAAGAAAGAUUGAAGGAACAUUAAUCCAUGCCUCAAAAUAUCUUUCCAGAUAUUUGUGACAGGGACAAAAAUCUGACAAAUGUUUGAACGCUCCUUCUUUUACUUAUGCACUCCACAACUACCACAUCCAAAGAGGAUUUUCUAUUUCACCUGCCCAAUUUUCUGCUCUCUUCUUCUCCAUAAACAGCCCAGCCUGUUUCUGGGCCUUUGAGAAAAUAUGAAUGAGAAUUGAUGGAUAGGGACAGAGAGACUGGUGAGGUGAG